GAAAAUUACAGUCAGCGACUUUCAAAUGAGUGACACAAUUUGUUUCAGCUGAUUUUCAGCUGAUCAACUCGUACAAACAAAUGGGCUUUAAUGCUUAAUUAUACGGGUGAACAAUGUACAUGAGGUAAUGCGUUUAAAGAAGUAAA